rnacentral:rRNA from 1 species
GUGAACGCUGGCGGUAGGCCUAACCCAUGCAGGUCGAACGGCAGCACAGUAAGAGCUUGCUCUUACGGGUGGCGAGUGGCGGACGGGUGAGGAAUACAUCGGAAUCUACUUUUUCGUGGGGGAUAACGUAGGGAAACUUACGCUAAUACCGCAUACGACCUACGGGUGAAAGCAGGGGAUCUUCGGACCUUGCGCGAUUGAAUGAGCCGAUGUCGGAUUAGCUAGUUGGCGGGGUAAAGGCCCACCAAGGCGACGAUCCGUAGCUGGUCUGAGAGGAUGAUCAGCCACACUGGAACUGAGACACGGUCCAGACUCCUACGGGAGGCAGCAGUGGGGAAUAUUGGACAAUGGGCGCAAGCCUGAUCCAGCCAUACCGCGUGGGUGAAGAAGGCCUUCGGGUUGUAAAGCCCUUUUGUUGGGAAAGAAAAGCAGCAGGUUAAUACCCCGCUGUUCUGACGGUACCCAAAGAAUAAGCACCGGCUAACUUCGUG